CGGCUGUCACUUACAGAUGGACCCGCGGCGCAUUAGCUAGUUGGUGGGGUAAUGGCUCACCAAGGCGACGAUGCGUAGCCGACCUGAGAGGGUGAUCGGCCACACUGGGACUGAGACACGGCCCAGACUCCUACGGGAGGCAGCAGUAGGGAAUCUUCCGCAAUGGACGAAAGUCUGACGGAGCAACGCCGCGUGAGUGAUGAAGGUUUUCGGAUCGUAAAGCUCUGUUGUUAGGGAAGAACAAGUGCGAGAGUAACUGCUCGCACCUUGACGGUACCUAACCAGAAAGCCACGGCUAACUACGUGCCAGCAGCCGCGGUAAUACGUAGGUGGCAAGCGUUGUCCGGAAUUAUUGGGCGUAAAGGGCUCGCAGGCGGUUUCUUAAGUCUGAUGUGAAAGCCCCCGGCUCAACCGGGGAGGGUCAUUGGAAACUGGGAAACUUGAGUGCAGAAGAGGAGAGUGGAAUUCCACGUGUAGCGGUGAAAUGCGUAGAGAUGUGGAGGAACACCAGUGGCGAAGGCGACUCUCUGGUCUGUAACUGACGCUGAGGAGCGAAAGCGUGGGGAGCGAACAGGAUUAGAUACCCUGGUAGUCCACGCCGUAAACGAUGAGUGCUAAGUGUUAGGGGUUUUCCGCCCAUUAGUGCUGCAGCUAACGCAUUAAGCACUCCGCCUGGGGAGUCGGUCGCAAGACUGAAACUCAAAGGAAUUGACGGGGGCCCGCACAAGCGGUGGAGCAUGUGGUUUAAUUCGAAGCAACGCGAAGAACCUUACCAGGUCUUGACAUCCUCUGACAACCCUAGAGAUAGGGCUUUCCCUUCGGGGACAGAGUGACAGGUGGUGCAUGGUUGUCGUCAGCUCGUGUCGUGAGAUGUUGGGUUAAGUCCCGCAACGAGCGCAACCCUUGAUCUUAGUUGCCAGCAUUCAGUUGGGCACUCUAAGGUGACUGCCGGUGACAAACCGGAGGAAGGUGGGGAUGACGUCAAAUCAUCAUGCCCCUUAUGACCUGGGCUACACACGUGCUACAAUGGACAGAACAAAGGGCUGCAAGACCGCAAGGUUUAGCCAAUCCCAUAAAUCUGUUCU
rnacentral:rRNA from 1 species